rnacentral:antisense_RNA from 1 species
CUUGAUCGAGCCCAGCAGCAGCGGGCGGUCCGCCGCCCGGUCCUGGCCGUACGUGGCCAGCAGCGCCUGCGCUUC